rnacentral:rRNA from 1 species
GACGAACGCUGGCGGCAUGCCUAAUACAUGCAAGUCGAGCGGAGUUGAUGGAAAGCUUGCUUUCCUGAUACUUAGCGGCGGACGGGUGAGUAACACGUAGGCAACCUGCCCUCAAGCUUGGGACAACUACCGGAAACGGUAGCUAAUACCGAAUACUUGUUUCUUCGCCUGAAGAGAACUGGAAAGACGGAGCAAUCUGUCACUUGGGGGUGGGCCUGCGGCGCAGUAGCUAGUUGGUGAGGUAACGGCUCACCAAGGCGACGAUGCGUAGCCGACCUGAGAGGGUGAUCGGCCACACUGGGACUGAGACACGGCCCAGACUCCUACGGGAGGCAGCAGUAGGGAAUCUUCCGCAAUGGGCGAAAGCCUGACGGAGCAAUGCCGCGUGAGUGAUGAAGGUUUUCGGAUCGUAAAGCUCUGUUGCCAGGGAAGAACGCUUGGGAGAGUAACUGCUCCCAAGGUGACGGUACCUGAGAAGAAAGCCCCGGCUAACUACGUGCCAGCAGCCGCGGUAA